rnacentral:lncRNA from 1 species
CUUGCGCCUUGCCUUAGUGAAUGGAGCCUCUGAAACAAGGUUUGAGUAUAGCCGAAAGGGAGGAAGUGCCCUCUCAUCUUCUUCUUCAUCUUCUCCCAGUUAGUAAUUUUGGAUUUCCCCUGUCGCUCCCGUGAGCGCUUCAACUGUUCCCACCAUGCAGAUGCCCUACCUUUGAGUUUGAUGGCGACUAGUUUCACUUUAACACGAUCUGGAACCUCCUUAUAUUCAAAAAUCCGCUCCACUUCAUUCAACCAAUCAAUAAAUCCUUCAGCCUGCAACGUACCAGAAAACUCGGGCAGAUCCACUCUGAAAUCGAGAUCUACAUGACGAUCCUCCCGUCCACGAUGCUCCCAAACUCGAGCACAAUGGUGAUACGGGUUUUCGAAACUGGUAUCGGAAUCGUGACCUUCCACAUCAUGAUUACCGAACUCCUGUUCCGCCAAACGUUGGGUUAACUCCGCAACUUGUCUC